rnacentral:lncRNA from 1 species
GGGAGCCGGGGGCGGCGAGGGGCGGAGCCGGGGCGGAGCCACGGCGCUGGCGGCCCCGGCGGCGGCGGCAGGUGUGGAUGGGGCGAAGGUGCGGGAACGUCCACUCCCGCGCGCCCCUCUCGGGGACCAGGGCGGCCUCCCAGGAGGAGCUUGGUUUCUGGUCCUCAUACCGUGUGGUUGAGUGAAAUCAAAACUUCCACGAUAGCAAUGCUGAUUGGACAAAGAAUGUGUUGUGGACACAAAACCAAACUCUGGAGGACAGAGGAUUCAUUCCAAGGGUCUGCUUGUAUUCAAUGACUGGUCUACGUGGGGGUGUGAAGUCCCCUUACUCCACCUGUGAAGAGUCUUCCCAGUUUCAGACCACCCUCCCAGCCUCCUGUUAUUGGCUAAGGCCAUUUUGUGACUACACUGCAGGUAGAGAUGGAUUCCUGGAAAUACCUCCUCAAGGCCAGUGUAGAGCCCUCAAUCACCCACUGCCCCCAGCUUCUCCUUCUCCCAUCUCCUGCACCAAGCAGGUCUCCAGGUGUUCCAGCUGCUGAUGACGUAAAGUGUGGAGUUGGUCCAGGAAGGUCAUGUUCCAUGCAGCAGAGGAGCGCUUUGUGUGAGAAGUUGAAGACCUGCUGUAACACAUCAUAGAGGAAAGACAUAGCCUGGGCCUUCUGCAACUGGCUGACUUCCACCUUCUCCUGGGGGAAUCUGAAGUCACUUCUGUCCUUUAGACACAAGAAGGGAGAGAUUCUCCUCAUUUGGCCCAAAAGCACCAAGGUGUUCCUGCCUAGCAGGCCAUGGUUCUGAGGCAGGUUAUAUCCUAGAGAUCCAGAAGAGCCACAGCUGCACACCUCUAGGGCUGCCAGUAGAGGGAAGAGGAGGGCCAUUGAGAAAUCAGGAUGCUUUUGGCCUGGUUGAGCUGAGGUCUUCAUAGAACCUUGGAUCCUAGGUUCUAUGAAGACAUUCUAUCUAUGCAUGGCUUUAAUGGAGCACAAAUAGUUUUCAUUUUUCUGAGCAUUUCUCUAAAUUUUUAAUUCCAUUUAUUGUUUUCAUUUACAUGUCUUCUAUAUCAGCAUCCACAACCUUUUGGCCACCAGUUUGGUGGAAGAUAAUUUUUCCACGAAAAAUGGGGUCAGGGAGGGAAUGCUUUCAGAGGCAUUAGAUUCUCAUUAGGAGACCACAACCUAGAUCCUUCGCAUCUGCACUUCACAAUAGGGUUCCUGCUCUUUUGAGAAUCCAAUGCCACUGCUGAUCUGACAGGAGGCAGAGCUCAGGCGUUAAUGCUUGUUGGUUGGCCUGCUUGCCUCCUGCUGUGCGGCCCUGUUCCUACCAGGCCAGGACCAGUACCCCGGUCCAUGGAUGGGGGUUGAAAAACCUUGUUCUAUAUGACCUAAAAGGAGGUCAUCACUCUACACUCUUGAUUUUUGCAAUGGAUGUUCAAUAUUCCCAGUAAACUUAAGAUAUAUCAAUCCAAAUGAAUAUUGAUCAAUCAGAUGAGAAACAUCUUUGUGCUACUGUUAGAAGUAUAUACUUUUAGCCCAGAUCCUAGCCUCCAGUUUUACCCUCCAUUUUGCAUAGGAAAUCAGGAUCCCUGGGCCCUAUGGGUUUCUGUAUUCAGUUAGGAAAUUACCUAUCUCUGGAAAUUAAACUUUUUAGGACUAUCUUUGUUUGAUAUUUGAUUCACAGAAGACGUUGAUGGUUAUUAGUGAAAGAACUUCUCUGGUGCUUCCCUCCUUCUAGAAUAUAUUCAUUCAGGUUCAUGUGGUUAUGCUUCCCUGGGGGCUCAAGCUUAGAUCAAUGAACAUUGCCUUUUUUGCAUUAUUUUCUUACUGGAGAAAUAUAGCACUCCUCAGGCUGCGCCAAUACCCCUAAAAGAAAUUCUGUUGGUUUGUUUUUUUUUCUUUUUUAAGAUGCAUAUGGGUGUGGAAAUUUUAAUCUUAAAAUAAUGUUAUUUCCUCAGCAGUGAUGAUUCACAAGGUAUUUAUCACAUCAAGUCACUCCCUAAAUGCAGGCUCACCACAUCCUGAUGACUUUAGAACUCCUUUUCCAGGGAGGUUCUUGCUUCUUUGUUGCCAAAACAAUAAAUCCUUUGUGACCUUUGUCCUUGCUCCUAGAAUAUUUGGGUGAAGGAGUAUAUGCUGUCAGUGGUGACCUCCUCUUCUUCUGACCCAUGCCCUAGGUAUCAAAGUCUCAACAGCCCUAGAACGCUGAUAACAAAGGUUUGUUUUGUCUAAGUAGGUAAAGGAAUUAUCCAAUUGUAAUCAUUUUAUCUUCAGUAGUUAAAUAAUUUUUAUUUCACCAAGUACAGCUUUUAUUCUUUCUUUAACUCUUUUGCUAUCUUUAAUUCUUUUAAACUAUUAACAGUUUUUAUGCUUAAAAUUUAUGAGCUAUGCACAGGAGAGUCAAAGAUGCUGCUGCCUCUCUUUAGAGGCUCAUAUUACAGAAACUGGCGACCCUCAGUUGUUCACUAGUUCAGUGUGAUCUGUUGAAGUUUCUUACAUCUCUGUCUACAUGAAACUUUGACGGUGCAGGGCAGUGAGCCCCAUGCUAUCACAUUAAAUAGUCAUAG